rnacentral:misc_RNA from 1 species
GACGGAGGGGGCGAGUGUUAUUCGUCGUUGCUGGGCGUAAAGGGUACGUAGGUGGCUACAGACUUAGCAUAGCAAAACCCUAGUAUAAGCUAGGAGCUGUGGGGGUUCGUGGCUGGAGUCACGAUUGUGGGCGUGUAACUGACGGGGGAGGGAUAAAAUCCUGCGAUCCCGAUAGGAACACUAGUAGUGGAAGCAUUGUCUUGGGUUGUGACUGACGCUGAGGUACUAAGGUAUGGGGAGCAAAUGGG